CAGAGCUUAACAGGGUUUAGUUUCUAGAGAGGGAAAGUGGUUUGUAAGAAUGAAGCAGGAUAGAUAUUAAAGUUUUAUUUAUGUUGAGAAAAUAAAAUUGUGGUUCCUUACAGGAAUUCACAUCAAAUUGAAUGAAAAAAGUCCACUAUUAAUAAUCGCAUUUAAAUAAAAGUUUAAACAUGAGAAGAUAUUCCUUAAGAGAUAUACUAAAGGUUAG
rnacentral:lncRNA from 1 species